UCAGUUUCUCACUCCGGAGCAUGCACCUCCCAGCCUCGCUCUCCGCAGCUCUCACUAUUUAAAGCCUGAUCUGGUGUUUAAAUGGAGAGCCGGUGACGUAGGACUGAAAAGCACCUUCCCAUCCUGGCAGAGUCUAUAUUAGAGAGCGCAAUGGCUCUAUAUAAACAGGGCAGCCAAAGGGAGGAGGACCACAAGGAGCAGGGACUGAAAAGCAGGGGAAGCUGCAGCAGCCAUGAUGGAUCGAUCUCUCUCUGAGAGUCGCAAACAAGGGGGCCAAGUCUCCACGGUACAGCCUUCAAAAAUCUCAAGGACAAUCCUCUGCAUCCACGAUGAAGCUUUGAAGUAGAGAUGGAUCUGACGGUGGCUUUGGAGGCAGAGGUGGUUGGCAUGUUGAACUCAACAUUUACGUGGCGAGCAAAUCUGGAAGGCACUUCCCGGUCAG